UCGGGAAUUUUGGGCAAUGGGCGAAAGCCUGACCCAGCAACGCCGCGUGAAGGAUGAAGUAUUUCGGUAUGUAAACUUCGAAAGAAUAGGAAGAAUAAAUGACGGUACUAUUUGUAAGGUCCGGCUAACUACGUGCCAGCAGCCGCGGUAAUACGUAGGGACCAAGCGUUGUUCGGAUUUACUGGGCGUAAAGGGCGCGUAGGCGGUGUGUCAAGUCAGUUGUGAAAUCUCCGAGCUUAACUCGGAACGGUCAACUGAUACUGUCACACUAGAGUACAGAAGGGGCAAUCGGAAUUCUUGGUGUAGCGGUGAAAUGCGUAGAUAUCAAGAGGAACACCUGAGGCGAAGGCGGGUUGCUGGGCUGAUACUGACGCUGAGGCGCGAAAGCUAGGGUAGCAAA
rnacentral:rRNA from 1 species